ACACGACUACAUUAGGAUACCCGGGUAGUCCUAGCCGUAAACGAUACUCGCUAGGUGUCGGCCACGGUGCGACCGUUGUCGGUGCCGUAGGGAAGCCGUGAAGCGAGCCACCUGGGAAGUACGGCCGCAAGGCUGAAACUUAAAGGAAUUGGCGGGGGAGCACAACAACGGGUGGAGCUUGCGGUUUAAUUGGAUUCAACGCCGGAAAUCUUACCGGGACCGACAGCAACAUGAAGGCCAAGCUGAAGACUUUGCCGGAUUAGCUG
rnacentral:rRNA from 1 species